rnacentral:misc_RNA from 1 species
UGGAUUGCUCGUAUAUCCGGGACAAAUCCAGCUUAGCUCUUAUUGGGAAAGAUUGCGACUGUACAGCGGAAACUCUAAAAGGAAUAUAGUUUUGAACCAUGAAGGAAGCUUUCCAUAUAAUCCAGGGGGCAGCAAAAUGAGAGGGCUUGUCGUAUCCUUAUAGAUUAUAUAUUCAGCUACAUUUCCGUAUUUCUUGUCUGCUGAUUCCUCAAGCAAGGGAAUGCCACUAACGAAAAGCAGCAGCAACGUUAAGAACACUGGUCCAAGCACAACAAGCCAUUCAGCACCCUCCAGCACAGGCGUUGAUGCCACAAAUAUUCCCCACCAUAGAAAGAUCUCGCCAAAAUAGUUUGGAUGCCGUGAAUACUUCCAAAGUCCAACAUUGCACCACUUUCCUCUGUUCUCUGGGGAGUUUUUGAAUGUUAACUUUUGUUGGUCAGAAGCGAUCUCAACUGAUAUUCCGAUAGACCACAUAAUCCAACCAAUGAUGUCUACCGUCUGAACAGAUGGUUGGUGGUCACUUGCAUUAACAACUGUCACUGGUAAACUCACAGUCCACACCCAGAUUGCCUGAAAUAGCCAAAAUAUUGCCAGUUUCCCCAGAUUAUCACGCUUAUCAUCAAAACGUCUAUCCUCGCCCCAUUGUAAUAUCCUCAUUAAUAGAAAUAGCCCCAGUCGAAGGCCCCAUAUCACGACAAACACAGACAAAACCACCUGUCGAAAAUUCCAUGAACCUUUUAGUA